AACUUGCUAUUAAUCUAGCAAGCUAAAUAUUUAGCUAUACAAUAUGUCUACAUGACAGGGAAACGAUAGUCUCUCAUACUUAAAAAACUAAGAUUUAUCUUAAUAAAUGUUUUAUUGUUCCUAGUAUGACAGAAAUACAGCAGCAGUAUCCUACAUUUUGAUUCUUAAGAGUCACAAUUGCUGAUUCAGCAUCAUGUUGCGCCCAGGUUGCAUGUCUUUUCAUCCAGUGAGAACUGUCUGACCACGCUGCAGUGUAGGAUGCAGCGACCCGCUGCAGCACCGUUUGCAGGUCAAAGAAGCCCACGUAAGAAGAGGAACCGUCAGCGGUGGUUAGCUGAGCAGGAGAAAUGAGUCAGAGUGAAGGAAAGCUUUCAGCCGAUGCGGGCAACGACAUCUUGCUGCUUGCAGAGCGUCGCCGCUGACAGUUUGAAGUUCCAGCCACAGAGCUGCUCUGCAGGCCCGGCUGCUGCUGCAAUCCACUGCAGAGAACCUCAGACCAGAACCAGGAAACAUAACCUGGUGAUGGCAUCAAGGUUUAAAAUAUUACAGCUAUUCAGAAACAACCCAGAUUGUUCAAGAUGUUACUCAAAAUGUUAUUUUCUUAAUAUAUUUCUGGACAAAAAUCGUAGUUCUGCCGUGUACGUUCGCUAGAUUUCACACAGAUGAAACCUUGAACUGAGUUUAAUUUGGGUUAUUUAACUAGUCAAAAGAGGAAAAAUAUAUUCGCCUUGUUAUUCAGUCACAUGUAAAUGUCAGUUUCAGACUAAAUAUUUAUUUAACUAGCUAAAUAGUUUGAAGCUAAAUAUGUAUUUAGAUUUAGUUAGGCUGAGCUAAAUAUUUCACUAACAAGCUGAAGAUUGAGCUUCAAAAUAAAUAUUUAGCUAGCGUAGGGCUACAUAUUUAUUUAGCAGUUAUUUAGCUAGUUCAAAGCUAUUUAGUUUAAAGAUAAAUAUUUAGCUGGUAGGCUAUUUGGUUAUCUUAAAGCUAAAUAUUUUGUGUAAAGCUCUAAGGCAAAAGUAUUUAGUUUGAUGCUAAGUAUUUAGCAUCAAACUAAAUAUGUAGCAAGCACAGGGCUAAACAUUUAAUUUGGACCUAAAUAGUUAGUUUUGCACACAAGUUAAAUAUUUGAUUUACUUGAUAUUUAUUUAGCAAACUACAUAUUUAGCUAGCUCAGAGCUCAAUGACUAGCUAGCUAGCAACAUAUUUAGCUUCUUAACUACAUAUCUAGCUUGCAAGCUAAAUAUCUAGCAUCAAACUAGCAUCUCAUGGCAAAACACUUCAUUUUAGCUAAACAGUUAGCUUGCACACUAAAUAGUUAGCUUGGAGCUAAAUAUUUUUGCUAAAUAUUUAGCUGCCUUAUUGCUAAAUAUUUAGUUUGCAAGCUAAAGUAAAUACUUGUCUUGCUACCUUUGAAUAGCUAUAAAAUGACUAAAUCAGCUGCAACAGCUGGAAGAAAUUCUCUAAAUGUCUCUUCAGGUGCAGCAACAAAAGCAGGAAAUGGCAAAGCGGUGAAACGAACCCUGAGGAAGGAGCUGCAAGAUAAACAACCGUCAGAACCUGUAGGACCUGGAGCGGCGGUUCGGCCCGCUCGGCGUGUUUGCGGAUCGGACCGGGCCAGGAAUGUGUCUGCUGCUGCUCUGCGUCUCUUCCUCGCUCCGUGACACGGACAUUUUCCAGCCGCCGCGUUUCCGGGAGCCAAUCAGAGCGCAGCGCCGGACACUGCAGCCGUCUGUCUGUUAUCCCGACCAGAACCGGACUGUCAGGACCAGAUGACCCAGUCAGGCUUCCGUACUGCUGCUCAGGCUCACAGCAGGAACCUGAGAGGGCGAUCAGUGUCUGAUUUCACAACAACGGUUAGAAAAACACAAAUUUACAAACUGCCAGAAACUGGAAUAAAUUCAGGAUCAGCAGAAAACUUCCUGGUAAAACCAGGAUUUAUUUUGUAGGCCGUAAGAAGGAGAAAAGUUUUAUAUGUUACCA